UAGUAGGGUUUUGACAUUAUUGUGAUGUAUCGUUAUCAUUUACAGUAUAAUAUCAUUAAUAUGAUGUGCAUAUGUGAUGUGUCCAGCUCACCUAGUGACCCUAGUGAGGAUGUAUAAUGGAUGGAUGGAUUGAUUGUUAUUGAUUAUUGCAAAAUGUCUGCAUCAGAAUCAUUUCCACUGUUGUCAAAAUAUCAUAAAAUGAUCAUAUCUUGAGUUAAUAUGCAAUUCCCACCCAUACUGACCCAACUUUUGAGGACAAUAUCAAACACACAAACAAACACAAGAGAUGUUGGCAUUAGUUUGCGACAGUGUCGAUGACGCCAAAAUCCAAUUGGAUUGAGUCCAACUUCAAAGGCCCCCACAUACCUGAGAUUAUACAACAGCGUGGCCGCCAGACAGGUCAGCCUCCAGGUAUGGAAGGCAAGGGGAUGCUGACAGAUGGUGCUUCACCUCGUGCCUAUCAGGGCGAUUAAGGGAUGGCAGACUAAAGUCUAACAGUGUUUGUGUAGAAUGGAUGCCUGAGACACACAAGCCAUCAAGAACACUGAGUUUGCUGAAAACCACACAUUCAAUCUCAUUAAGCUCAUCAAGUACUGAGUGGGAACCAAAGAAGGAAGCGGGAUGCACGUUCCCCAAACCGCUCUCCAUCUCACUUUUCUUUUUUCUCACCCCCCUGCAGUACUCUGUAAUUUGUCUAAAAAUACCCCGCAAAGAAGAGAAGGAGGAGGAGGAGCGAAAACAAACCUUUGGAGGAGAUAAUGUGGCAAAGGAGGGCAGCCGGAAAAGCAAGGGAUUGCACGCGCCGAGCAAAGGCGGAAUGUGAGCCACCUGGACGCGGAUGCCUUUUUCCCAGAAGAGAAGCAGGUGACCCAGCUGCGCGACGUUCCCGAUGCAAUCUACAGCAUGAAGCAGGAGAGCCACUGCCUCUGCGGAUGAAAGCUGCACUUGCUGUGCUCACAUUGAGCAGGCGCAGGAUAGCUCCCCUCCCCCUCCCCAACACCCCUUCCCAUUCUGUCUCUGUCCGUCCACUUCCCUAGAUGGCUC